GACGUAGGACGCGAGCGUUAUCCGGAGUUACUGGGCGUAAAGGGCGGGUAGGCGGGUCGGCAAGAUGGGUGUGAAAUCGCCGGGCUCAACCGGGCGGGGCCACUCGUGACUGCCGGUCUGGAGGGUGACAGAGGCGCGUGGAAUUCCGGGUGGAGUGGUGAAAUGCGUAGAGAUCCGGAGGAACACCAGAGGCGAAAGCGGCGCGCUGGGUCACAACUGACGCUGAACCGCGAAAGCCAGGGUAGCGAACGGG
rnacentral:rRNA from 1 species